GGGUUGUGAGGUUAAGCGACUAAGCGUACACGGUGGAUGCCCUGGCAGUCAGAGGCGAUGAAGGACGUGCUAAUCUG
rnacentral:rRNA from 13 species